AAACCCGGUGAUCUAGCCAUGGGCAGGUUGAAGGUUGGGUAACACUAACUGGAGGACCGAACCGACUAAUGUUGAAAAAUUAGCGGAUGACUUGUGGCUGGGGGUGAAAGGCCAAUCAAACCGGGAGAUAGCUGGUUCUCCCCGAAAGCUAUUUAGGUAGCGCCUCGUGAACUCAUCUUCGGGGGUAGAGCACUGUUUCGGCUAGGGGGUCAUCCCGACUUACCAAACCGAUGCAAACUCCGAAUACCGAAGAAUGUUAUCACGGGAGACACACGGCGGGUGCUAACGUCCGUCGUGAAGAGGGAAACAACCCAGACCGCCAGCUAAGGUCCCAAAGUCAUGGUUAAGUGGGAAACGAUGUGGGAAGGCACAGACAGCCAGGAUGUUGGCUUAGAAGCAGCCAUCAUUUAAAGAAAGCGUAAUAGCUCACUGGUCGAGUCGGCCUGCGCGGAAGAUGUAACGGGGCUAAACCAUGCACCGAAGCUGCGGCAGCGAACGUAUCACUUAAAACGCUUAACGUGACGGCAAAGCCGGCAUGUUCAAGCCACACUAAACGUUGAGUUGGCCGAUGUGCUGACAAACGAACAGGCGUUUUAAGGAUACGUUCGUUGGGUAGGGGAGCGUUCUGUAAGCC
rnacentral:rRNA from 1 species